rnacentral:rRNA from 1 species
CGAGCGCACCCUUAUCCUUGUUUGCCAGCGAGUAAUGUCGGGAACUCCAGGGAGACUGCCGGUGAUAAACCGGAGGAAGGUGGGGACGACGUCAAGUCAUCAUGGCCCUUACGAGUAGGGCUACACACGUGCUACAAUGGCGCAUACAGAGGGCAGCCAACUUGCGAAAGUGAGCGAAUCCCAAAAAGUGCGUCGUAGUCCGGAUUGGAGUCUGCAACUCGACUCCAUGAAGUCGGAAUCGCUAGUAACCGUGGAUCAGAAUGCCACGGUGAAUACGUUCCCGGGCCUU